CAGAACAUGCGGCCUCCCUCUCCUGCAGCCACAUCAAAGGCUGCGUCCUCCGGCGGUGGUGAUCACGCCGAAGGCUGUAGGAGGCAGGCUGCACGACCCAUGUAGCCAGCCAGAGGCCUUACCGACCGCCGCAUGGCUGGAGCGGGCCGUGACUGGGACACCGCCGGUGAGCUGGGCCCUGCGGGCAUGUGUCGUCCGUUAUUGGGGGGAGGGGUCAGUGGGAGGAUACCCUCCUCCUCACUAUUCCCCAGCUGGAGGAUAGGCUGUGGUUCACCGACGGUCACGGUAAGUGGCGUCCUCGUGCCGUUCCAGCACAAGGGCUCCAGUUGCAGGGAGCCCAUCCUGUUUCCCUUUGGUCUAUAUGAGAACUCCAUCAGGUGGUGC